rnacentral:rRNA from 1 species
AUUGAACGCUGGCGGCAUGCCUUACACAUGCAAGUCGAACGGUAACAGGUCUUUCGGGAUGCUGACGAGUGGCGAACGGGUGAGUAAUACAUCGGAACGUGCCUAGUAGUGGGGGAUAACUACUCGAAAGAGUGGCUAAUACCGCAUGAGAUCUAUGGAUGAAAGCCGGGGACCUUUGGGCCUUGUGCUACUAGAGCGGCCGAUGGCAGAUUAGGUAGUUGGUGGGAUAAAAGCUUACCAAGCCUACGAUCUGUAGCUGGUCUGAGAGGACGAUCAGCCACACUGGGACUGAGACACGGCCCAGACUCCUACGGGAGGCAGAAGUGGGGAAUUUUGGACAAUGGGCGCAAGCCUGAUCCAGCAAUGCCGCGUGCAGGAUGAAGGCCUUCGGGUUGUAAAAUGCUUUUGUACGGAACGAAAAGUCUUGGGUUAAUACCCUGGGAUCAUGACGGUACCGUAAGAAUAAGCACCGGCUAACUACGUG